CAAGGAUCUUCCACUGGACCUGUCCUACCUUCCUAAUAUCUGUGUGAUGUGACGAUCUGGUCUGUGAUGCUAACUGAAUGGAGAGCUUACAUUAAGCGCGACAAUGAUAAUUACUAGAUGCGUUCCCAGCAGCGAGACCUGCUACAUGUUACCGCUGUGCAAACGCAUGAACGGUCGUUAUUUUUCUGAAUGCUGAUAGCACUGAAUUUCUCUUCAUCCUUAGUAAUAGAAAUAUACAUACGACUUAUUAGAUGCUCGACCCGAUGACUGCUAAAUUUUUGUUCUUCAUGCCUGGUAUGUCGCUGUUGGUGUCCAAACUGGCUGAUGGGACGGCUAUGAACACCAAUAUAAAACCCUUUUCUAUUGAAAAGGGGAAAAAUUAACAGGCAACAUUCAGAAAAAGUAAA